rnacentral:rRNA from 1 species
GGGUUGUGAGGUUAAGCGACUAAGCGUACACGGUGGAUGCCCGCAGUCAGAGGCGAUGAAGGACGUGCUAAUCUGCGAAAAGCGUCGGUAAGGUGAUAUGAACCGUUAUAACCGGCGAUGUCCGAAUGGGGAAACCCAGUGCAAUUCGUUGCACUAUCGUUAACUGAAUACAUAGGUUAACGAGGCGAACCGGGGGAACUGAAACAUCUAAGUACCCCGAGGAAAAGAAAUCAACCGAGAUUCCCCCAGUAGCGGCGAGCGAACGGGGAGCAGCCCAGAGUCUGAAUCAGCUUGUGUGUUAGUGGAACGGUCUGGAAAGUCCGACGGUACAGGGUGAUAGUCCCGUACACCAAAAUGCACAGGCUGUGAACUCGAAGAGUAGGGCGGGACACGUGGUAUCCUGUCUGAAUAUGGGGGGACCAUCCUCCAAGGCUAAAUACUCCUGACUGACCGAUAGUGAACCAGUACCGUGAGGGAAAGGCGAAAAGAACCCCGGCGAGGGGAGUGAAAAAGAACCUGAAACCGUGUACGUACAAGCAGUGGGAGCACCUUCGGGUGUGACUGCGUACCUUUUGUAUAAUGGGUCAGCGACUUAUAUUCUGUAGCAAGGUUAACCGUAUAGGGGAGCCGCAGGGAAACCGAGUCUUAACUGGGCGUUAAGUUGCAGGGUAUAGACCCGGUGAUCUAGCCAUGGGCAGGUUGAAGGUUGGGUAACACUAACUGGAGGACCGAACCGACUAAUGUUGAAAAAUUAGCGGAUGACUUGUGGCUGGGGGUGAAAGGCCAAUCAAACCGGGAGAUAGCUGGUUCUCCCCGAAAGCUAUUUAGGUAGCGCCUCGUGAAUUCAUCUUCGGGGGUAGAGCACUGUUUCGGCUAGGGGGUCAUCCCGACUUACCAACCCGAUGCAAACUACGAAUACCGAAGAAUGUUAUCACGGGAGACACACGGCGGGUGCUAACGUCCGUCGUGAAGAGGGAAACAACCCAGACCGCCAGCUAAGGUCCCAAAGUCAUGGUUAAGUGGGAAACGAUGUGGGAAGGCACAGACAGCCAGGAUGUUGGCUUAGAAGCAGCCAUCAUUUAAAGAAAGCGUAAUAGCUCACUGGUCGAGUCGGCCUGCGCGGAAGAUGUAACGGGGCUAAACCAUGCACCGAAGCUGCGGCAGCGACACUAUGUGUUGUUGGGUAGGGAGCGUUCUGUAAGCCUGCGAAGGUGACCUGUGAGGGUUGCUGGAGGUAUCAGAAGUGCGAAUGCUGACAUAAGUAACGAUAAAGCGGGUGAAAAGCCCGCUCGCCGGAAGACCAAGGGUUCCUGUCCAACGUUAAUCGGGGCAGGGUGAGUCGACCCCUAAGGCGAGGCCGAAAGGCGUAGUCGAUGGGAAACAGGUUAAUAUUCCUGUACUUGGUGUUACUGCGAAGGGGGGACGGAGAAGGCUAUGUUAGCCGGGCGACGGUUGUCCCGGUUUAAGCAUGUAGGCGGUGGUUCCAGGCAAAUCCGGUACCUAUCAAGGCUGAGGUGUGAUGACGAGGCACUACGGUGCUGAAGUAACAAAUGCCCUGCUUCCAGGAAAAGCCUCUAAGCAUCAGGUAACAUCAAAUCGUACCCCAAACCGACACAGGUGGUCAGGUAGAGAAUACCAAGGCGCUUGAGAGAACUCGGGUGAAGGAACUAGGCAAAAUGGUGCCGUAACUUCGGGAGAAGGCACGCUGGUGUGUAGGUGAAGUCCCUGCGGAUGGAGCUGAGACCAGUCGAAGAUACCAGCUGGCUGCAACUGUUUAUUAAAAACACAGCACUGUGCAAACACGAAAGUGGACGUAUACGGUGUGACGCCUGCCCGGUGCCGGAAGGUUAAUUGAUGGGGUUAUCCGUAAGGAGAAGCUCUUGAUCGAAGCCCCGGUAAACGGCGGCCGUAACUAUAACGGUCCUAAGGUAGCGAAAUUCCUUGUCGGGUAAGUUCCGACCUGCACGAAUGGCGUAAUGAUGGCCAGGCUGUCUCCACCCGAGACUCAGUGAAAUUGAACUCGCUGUGAAGAUGCAGUGUACCCGCGGCAAGACGGAAAGACCCCGUGAACCUUUACUAUAGCUUGACACUGAACAUUGAGCCUUGAUGUGUAGGAUAGGUGGGAGGCUUUGAAGCGUGGACGCCAGUCUGCGUGGAGCCAACCUUGAAAUACCACCCUUUAAUGUUUGAUGUUCUAACGUUGGCCCCUGACCGGGGUUGCGGACAGUGUCUGGUGGGUAGUUUGACUGGGGCGGUCUCCUCCCAAAGCGUAACGGAGGAGCACGAAGGUUAGCUAAUCCUGGUCGGACAUCAGGAGGUUAGUGCAAUGGCAUAAGCUAGCUUGACUGCGAGCGUGACGGCGCGAGCAGGUGCGAAAGCAGGUCAUAGUGAUCCGGUGGUUCUGAAUGGAAGGGCCAUCGCUCAACGGAUAAAAGGUACUCCGGGGAUAACAGGCUGAUACCGCCCAAGAGUUCAUAUCGACGGCGGUGUUUGGCACCUCGAUGUCGGCUCAUCACAUCCUGGGGCUGAAGUAGGUCCUAUGGCUGUUCGCCAUUUAAAGUGGUACGCGAGCUGGGUUUAGAACGUCGUGAGACAGUUCGGUCCCUAUCUGCCGUGGGCGCUGGAGAAUUGAGGGGGGCUGCUCCUAGUACGAGAGGACCGGAGUGGACGCAUCACUGGUGUUCGGGUUGUCAUGCCAAUGGCACUGCCCGGUAGCUAAAUGCGGAAGAGAUAAGUGCUGAAAGCAUCUAAGCACGAAACUUGCCCCGAGAUGAGUUCUCCCUGAGACUUUAAGUCUCCUGAAGGAACGUUGAAGACGACGACGUUGAUAGGCCGGGUGUGUAAGCGCAGCGAUGCGUUGAGCUAACCGGUACUAAUGAACCGUGAGGCUUAACCUUACAACGCCGAAG